CAGAGCGUAAAAACUCCCAAACCCACUGUGAACCUACCUACAACGUUGCCUCGGCGCGCUCCCCAGGGGCCGCGCCGGGGGACCCGAACUCUUGUUUCCAGCACAGGAUCUUCUGAGUGGCGUAAAGCAAAAAUAAGUUA
rnacentral:misc_RNA from 1 species